CUCUCCCUUCUUGGGGAAGCCAGCAAUGAAUCCAAAGGGAGCGGAUGCAUGAUCCUUGGGCGGAAUGCACAUCAUCGGCUGGAUCACGGGAGCUGGUCGCGGAAGAGUGAUCUAUGAAAGAUGAAUAUGGACGGAAGAAGGGGCUGAAUGCUAGGCUGCUGGGAUUUCGGGGCGUGAUGCUGGAGGCUAGAUUGCGGACGGAGAGGAUGAAGGGCUGGAUCUCGGGCUUGAUUUGCAGAUGCUGGUGAAUGCGGACGGGAUCCGGGAUUUGAGGAUUUUGAAUCCGGAGGAGACGCGGACGGUGAUGGUGAAAAAUGGGAUGCUGGUCGCUGGUGUGGAUCCGUGGAAGGAAUCAUGCUUCAUUGCUUUCCUUCUUUGGACCAUUGGCUGCUGGGAGGUGAAUCUGGAUGAAGACGGAGGAGCUGCUCACUGGUGUGCUCGUUGGAUGCGGUUGGAACGGGCUGAUGCGGAAGAGCUGGAUCUCGGCUGCUGGGAGGUUGGAACCGGGCUAAUGUGGAAAGUUUUCUGGUAAUGAAAUUGGCUGUGACUCGUGGCUGCUGGGAGGUGGUGGGGACGCAUCGCGGGAGAAGAGGAAUGGAAGCUUGGC
rnacentral:lncRNA from 1 species